UUGUCGAAGGAUGCCCGGUGGCUGGCUGUUGCGAGGGUAAACACGACAAAGUAAUUCGGUGUUGAAUCCUUCAAGAACACAACGAUUUUCGCAUGGAGACUUGCCAACAAGCCAGAGAUCCGCGAGGCAGAUGACAAUCUUUUCGUCAUCCAACUUUUUUUUCUAGGGGAUUGGAACAGAGUUAUGCACCAGGGUCCUUGGAUCUACAGGGGACUUAUGGUUGCAAUUGAAGAGUACGAUGGCAAAGGGAAACCAGAUUUGGUUCAGCUCGACCGAGUUCAUGUGUGGGCGCAAAUUCAUGCUACCUCGGAGCUCUACAGGAAGGAUAUGAUAGUAGACCAACUGGCUCGUCGCAUAGGCCAAGUGAAGAGCAUGGAGAUGAACCCUAACCGAGUUUUUGAGGGCAACUAUGUCAGGGUCCGGGCGAAGAUUAAACUAGCUGAUCCCUUGGUGUGUUUUGCCCCAUUGAACAUCAAAGGGGAAGGGCGAAUCCUCUUGCCAGUCAAAUAUGAGAAGAUAGGCUUCUUUUGCGAAGUCUGUGGCGUCCUAGGCCACUCCAUGGAGGAGUGCAGUGAUGGGGUUCACAGCCCCGAGGAGGUUGAAUACGGCGAGUGGAUGAAAGCUACUCGGAGACCCAUGCUGGAGAGCCAGAACCACGACCCGAGCUAG
rnacentral:rRNA from 1 species